rnacentral:rRNA from 1 species
AUUGAACGCUGGCGGCAGGCCUAACACAUGCAAGUCGAGCGAGCGGCGGACGGGUGAGUACUGUCUGGGAAACUGCCUGAUGGAGGGGGAUAACUACUGGAAACGGUAGCUAAUACCGCAUACCAUCAGAUGUUCCCAGAGGGGAUUAGCUAGUUGGUGGGGUAAAGGCCUACCAAGGCGACGAUCCGUAACUGGUCUGAGAGGAGUAGCAGGCACACUGGAACUGAGACACGGUCCAGACUCCUACGGGAGGCAGCAGUGGGGAAUAGUGGAAAAUGGGCGAAAGCCUGAUCCAGCCAUGCCGCGUGUGUGAAGAAGGUCUUCGGAUUGUAAAGCACUUUAAGGUGGGAGGCGUUACCAACAGAAUAAGCACCGGCUAACUUCGUGCCAGCAGCCGCGGUAAUAC